CCUACGGGUGGCAGCAGUGAGGAAUAUUGGUCAAUGGGCGGAAGCCUGAACCAGCCAAGUAGCGUGCAGGAUGACGGCCCUACGGGUUGUAAACUGCUUUUAUACGGGAAUAACGCGCCUUACGUGUAGGGCUUUGCAUGUACCGUAUGAAUAAGGACCGGCUAAUUCCGUGCCAGCAGCCGCGGUAAUACGGAAGGUCCGGGCGUUAUCCGGAUUUAUUGGGUUUAAAGGGAGCGUAGGCCGCAUGUCAAGCGUGCUGUGAAAUGUCCGGGCUCAACCCGGGCCUUGCAGCGCGAAAUGGCGUGCUUGAGUCCGCGGAAAGCAGGCGGAAUGCGUCAUGUAGCGGUGAAAUGCUUAGAUAUGACGAAGAACCCCGAUUGCGAAGGCAGCUUGCUGCAGCGGAACUGACGCUGAGGCACGAAAGCGUGGGGAUCGAACAGGAUUAGAUACCCUUGUAGUC
rnacentral:rRNA from 1 species